rnacentral:siRNA from 1 species
UUAAGAUAGUGUCUUCUCCGAC